rnacentral:lncRNA from 1 species
UUCGGGCGAGUGUUCACGGGCUUCGGCCCUAGGUGAGGGUUUUCCGUGGUUCGGAAGGCGAGUGUAUCCCGAUGUGGUGAAUUUCGCCAAUAGCCCAUUUGGAGGAUUCAUUGACCGUUAAAAAAUAUGUUUAAGUUGGAACAAAAAUAUCAUUUUUUUGAUGAACUAAGAAUUGUUGUAAAAGCUUUACCCUUCAACAGGCUAUAAUUGAUUGCUUGAAACUGUUUAUUUCAAAACUGAUAAGCAGUUUAGAUAAUUUAAUGAGGAGGUUGGAUAAGCAAUCCCAAAUAGGCAAACAUGAAAUAACACAGCACAUUUCACAAAUUUUUGAAGUUUUCAGAGGUCGAAUGAAUUGCUGUGACCAAAGAUGUGUACGUUCCGUCCUUUAUAUUAAUUAGUUCUUCAUGCUUUCCUUUCUCAACAACGACUCCAUUUUUAACCACAACAAUGAGGUCCGCACCCUUAAUGGUUGACAGCCGAUGAGCCACCACAAGUGUGGUCCGGUUAACCAUGACCCUAUCCAACGCGUCUUGAACCACUUUUUCUGACUCCGCAUCAAGUGCACUAGUGGCCUCAUCUAGCAGUAGUAUUUUGGGACUCUUGACAAUGGCUCUAGCAAUUGCCACUCUCUGUUUCUGUCCACCUGACAAUUGGACUCCUCUUUCCCCUACCAUUGUAUUAUAACCCUACAAUUCCCACAUCAUUCAUUAGAUCAUUUACCAUCAUAGAUAUUUUUUUAAGAUUUGAAAGUUUGCCUUGUAAAGCUAUACUAACAACCCAAACCCUUUUUAUAUUAGAGUUAAUUACACGAAUGGUUCCUGCCCUGGAAUGUAUUUUUACUGUUUUAAUCCUUUUCUUUUAUCGAUAUAAUGGAAUGGUCACCGUUGGCCAAAUCGUAAAAGCACAUUCAUAAUUUUGUGAACAUAAUUUAUAGGUUUGUAAACGAACCCAAUGAUUUAGUGAACACCAGCCGGGGCUUAAAUGGAUUUUUUGAUCUUGUUCAUUGAUUUAAAAAUUAACGUGUUCGUGUUUGGUAAGCACUAAGCAGUGUUGGAUAGAUGAUGCUAAAGAGAAAAACCUGGUGUAAGCCACUGAUGAACCCAUGGGCACUGGCUAACUCUGAAGCAGCUAGUAUUUCCGCCUCGGUUGCAUCGCCAUCUUUUCCGUAAGCAAUGUUGGCUCGGAUGGUGUCAUUGAACAAGACCGGUUCCUGGCUCACUAGGCCCAUCUGCAGUCUGAGCCACUUGAGUUGGAACUUAUGUAACUCGUAUCCGUCCAUUGUGAUACAACCCGAACCCGGAUUGUAAAAUCUUUGUAGGAGUGAAAUAAUCGUCGAUUUCCCACUUCCGCUCUCCCCAACCAAUGCAACUGUCUGAAAGGAAGAUACCGUUAAGAGUUACCUUGCCACUAUUGAUGGUUAAGCAUAGAUCACGAAAUAUCUCGACAUUAGGUCUGGCUGGAUACCGAAAACUAACAUGACGAAGCUCGAUUUCCCCUUUUACAUGUUGUAAUAUCAUUCCGGAUUCAUCACUUGGGUCUAUCUCGGACUCACGAUCAAGAAUGGCAAAUACCGAUGCAACCGAACUCUUGGCUUUACUUGUAUCUGGGGCAAACUUGCCCGAAUUAGACACUGCCAUUGCUGCCAUCGUCAAAGCAUAG